UACGGAGGGUGCGAGCGUUGUCCGGAAUCAUUGGGCGUAAAGGGCGCGUAGGUGGCCCGGUCAGUUCGUGGUGAAAGCGCGGGGCUCAACUCCGCGUCGGCCAUGAAUACUGCUGGGCUUGAGCACUGUAGAGGCAGGCGGAAUUCCGGGUGUAGCGGUGGAAUGCGUAGAGAUCCGGAAGAACACCGGUGGCGAAGGCGGCCUGCUGGGCAGUAGCUGACACUGAGGCGCGACAGCGUGGGGAGCAACAGG
rnacentral:rRNA from 1 species